rnacentral:lncRNA from 1 species
CGCGGGGAUAGAGCUCCGACAGCGUGCUCUCCUCCGCCGUGAUGUUGUACUGGAUGUAGCGCAUGUUCAUGUCCCGCGGCGGCACGCCGUACUCGUCCAUGGCCAGGCCCUCCAUCCGCCCCAGCGGCACCACCUGCACCACCACCGCGUUCAUCGGCAGGAACACCAGGUUCGUCAGCCCGGACCCGUGCACGGCCACCAUCACGUCGAACGCGUUCACCGUCGCCGACGCGUCCGCCAUCCGCGCCUGCCCGCCGUCGCCCACCACGGCCGCCUCGCCGCCUUGCUUCUUGGCCGGCG